rnacentral:lncRNA from 1 species
AGUAGUUAUUGUUGCAAACUCCAUUAGAAUAUUUUAAUUGAGAUUAGUUUUGGAAUAAGGGAAAGGGGGAUGUGAUUAAAAAAUUGGGUUCAAUUUUUCUCAUUUGAAAUUUCAUAAAUAAAAAGAAAAUUUCUUCAAACAUUUUUUUGAGAGGAUUAAUAUUCAACAGCAUAGUGAAUUGCUCUAAGAGAAAACACAAAUUUUAAGUUCAUUAGAAUACAUUCAUUCUGUGUCAGAAACCUAUGCUGUGUCAACUAUUUAAUCACAAUCCAAAUUUAGAGCUGAAUCCAGCUUGAAUGUUGUGUCCAUACUUGCCCCAACCGUUCAGGGUUCAACCUCUGCGGUCGUAUAAAGCUACGCCCUGCGGAGCAUCUGGUUUGUAUUUAUGGUCCCGAACAGACAAACCAUUUUGACCAUUUGAGUUUAUCAAACAUCAACCCAUCAAUCAGUACUGCUGUUCAUUUUCCUGGCAGUCAAGUAUUGUUUUCUUAUAGUUCCAU